AUUCCAGCUCCAAUAGCGUAUAUUAAAGUUGUUGCAGUUAAAAAGCUCGUAGUCGGAUUUUGGCAUCACGCCGAACUGUCUGCCGAUUGGUAAGUACGGUUUGGCGGGUGCUUCCUUCCGGAGGCUCGUUCCCUUCUUCAUUGAAGGGUUCGUUGGUUCCGGGUCUUUUACUUUGAGAAAAUUAGAGUGUUCAAAGCAGGCCUAUGCUCUGAAUAGGUUAGCAUGGAAUAAUAGAAUAGGACUUUGGUUCUAUUUUGUUGGUUUCUAGGACCGAAGUAAUGAUUAAUAGGAGCAGUUGGGGGUAUUCGUAUUCGAUUGUCAGAGGUGAAAUUCUUGGAUUUAUAGAAGACGAACUACUGCGAAAGCACUUACCAAGGAUGUUUUCAUCA
rnacentral:rRNA from 1 species